rnacentral:tRNA from 1 species
GCCUGGGUGGCUCAGUCAGUUAAGCGUCUGACUUUUGAUCAGAUCUCAUGGUUUGUGAGUUCAAGCCCCAGAUCAGGCU